rnacentral:rRNA from 1 species
AUUGAACGCUGGCGGUAGGCUUAACACAUGCAAGUCGUGCGAGAAAGUAUCUUCGGAUAUGAGUAGAGCGGCGGACGGGUGAGUAACGCGUAGGAAUCUACCUAGUAGAAGGGGAUAGCCCGGGGAAACCCGGAUUAAUACCGUAUACCUCCUUCGGGAGAAAGAAGGCCUCUCUUUGAAGCUUUCGCUAUUAGAUGAGCCUGCGUAAGAUUAGCUUGUUGGUGAGGUAAAGGCUCACCAAGGCGACGAUCUUUAGCUGGUCUGAGAGGACGAUCAGCCACAUUGGGACUGAGACACGGCCCAGACUCCUACGGGAGGCAGCAGUGGGGAAUAUUGGACAAUGGGCGCAAGCCUGAUCCAGCCAUACCGCGUGUGUGAAGAAGGCCUUCGGGUUGUAAAGCACUUUAAGCAGGGAGAAAAAGUUAUAAGUUAAUACCUUAUAACCCUGAUGUUACCUGCAGAAUAAGCACCGGCUAAUUCCGUGCCAGCAGCCGCGGUAAUACGGAAGGUGCAAGCGUUAAUCGGAAUUACUGGGCGUAAAGCGCGCGUAGGUGGUUUGUUAAGUUGGAUGUGAAAGCCCUGGGCUCAACCUAGGAACUGCAUCCAAAACUAACUCACUAGAGUACGAUAGAGGGAGGUAGAAUUCAUAGUGUAGCGGUGGAAUGCGUAGAUAUUAUGAAGAAUACCAGUGGCGAAGGCGGCCUCCUGGAUCUGUACUGACACUGAGGUGCGAAAGCGUGGGUAGCGAACAGGAUUAGAUACCCUGGUAGUCCACGCCGUAAACGAUGACAACUAGCUGUUGGGAGACUAUGUCUUUCAGUGGCGCAGCUAACGCUUUAAGUUGUCCGCCUGGGGAGUACGGCCGCAAGGCUAAAACUCAAAUGAAUUGACGGGGACCCGCACAAGCGGUGGGGCAUGUGGUUUAAUUCGAUGCAACGCGAAAAACCUUACCUACUCUUGACAUACUUGGAGGCUCUUGUAAUGAGAGUGUGCCUUUUGGAACCAAGAUACAGGUGCUGCAUGGCUGUCGUCAGCUCGUGUCGUGAGAUGUUCCGUUAAGUCGGAUAACGAGCGCAACCCUUACCCUUAUUUGCCAGCGAUUCGGUCGGGAACUAUAAGGGGACUGCCGGUGAUAAACCGGAGGAAGGUGAGGACGACGUCAAGUCAUCAUGGCCCUUACGAGUAGGGCUACACACGUGCUACAAUGGGAGAUACAGACGGACGCUAAGCCGCGAGGUGGUGCUAAUCCUAAAAAGUCUUUCGUAGUCCGGAUUGGAGUCUGCAACUCGACUCCAUGAAGUCGGAAUCGCUAGUAAUCGCGGAUCAGCAUGCCGCGGUGAAUACGUUCUCGGGUCU